ACCAUUGUGGUGUAGUGGUUUGAACAUUGGACUAUGACUCUGAAGAUGAGGGUUCAAUUCCCCUUUCUGACA